rnacentral:rRNA from 1 species
AGAGAGAGACAUGCGCGCAUAUCAAUAAGCGGAGGAAAAGAAACUAACUAGGAUUCCCUCAGUAACGGCGAGUGAAGCGGGAAGAGCUCAAAUUUGAAAUCUUCAAGGUUCUACCUUGACGAAUUGUAGUUUAAAGAAGUGUUUUCUGUUGAGGUUUUGGUAAAAGUUCUUAGGAAUAGGACAUCAUAGAGGGUGAGAAUCCCGUAUUUGACCUUUACUUUCAACUUUGUGAUACACUUUCAAAGAGUCGGAUUGUUUGGGAAUGCAGUCCAAAAUGGGUGGUAAAUUUCAUCUAAAGCUAAAUAUUGGCGAGAGACCGAUAGCGAACAAGUACCGUGAGGGAAAGAUGAAAAGAACUUUGAAAAGAGAGUUAAACAGUACGUGAAAUUGUCAAAAGGGAAGCGUUUGACACCAGUGUUGUUUUUCUGAAAAUCAAUUAAAGAACUGUUUAUGCUAAGCUGUUUAGACUUUAUCAGCUAUCUGUUUAGUUUUGAGCUUUUCUUUAAUGCACUUUUCAGUUAACAAGUCAACAUCAAUUUCUUUUGCUGUAAAAAAGCUUGAGGAAGGUGGCUUGAGAUUCGUCUUAAGUGUUUAUAGCCUCUUGCCUAUGCAGUCGGAGAGAUUGAGGUCUGCAGCGUAGAUCCUUCGGGGCUAAAUGCAUUUGUGCUAAGUUAUAGCAUUUUAUAGACAACUUGUUGACUAUGAUUAGUCUUGUAGCUUACUCGCUUAUGCUAUUUUACCUACGCUUAGGAUGUUGAUGUGAUACUGCGAGCA